UCUUGAUCACGUCCAAAUUUACGCCAUAUAUGUUCAACAAAAUCACAUUUCAGUUGUUGAUGCGCUUGUCUAUCACAAAUUCUUGUUCGAACACCUAUCUGAUUGGCGAUAUUUGUAGGGAUGUCUGUUGAAUAUGUGAGAUCGAUAUGUGAACUUCCGCUUCCUUCUCCUUGUUGAAAAUCAGAAACUUCGUAUUGAGUGUAGUCAUCUCGUUCGUUUUCUACUAUCAUACUAUGGAGUAUGAUAUAUGCUCUCAUAAUCUUUCCAAUCUUGACUUUAUCCCAAGAAAGUGCCGGAUUUUUAACAAUGGGAAAUCGAGCUUGCAAGACUCUGAAAGCACGUUCGACAUCUUUUCGGGCAGCUUCUUGACGUUGAGCAAAUAAAACUGCUUUAGGCCCUUGUGGAAUUGGAAUAGAUUAGAUAAAAGUUGCCCAUUUUGGAUAAAGAUCAUCGGUGAGAUAGUAAGCCAAAUGAUACUCUCUUCCGUUGACCGAGAAAUUCACUUGCGGAGCUUGACCAUUUAUUAUGUCAUCAAAAACAGGUGAGCGAUCAAGAACAUUGAUAUCAUUUAAGGUACCUGGAGGUCCAAAAAACGCAUGUCAUAUCCAAAGAUCAUAUGAAGCAACCGCCUCUAAAACGAUUGUCGGUUUUCCAGAACCACAAGAAUAUUGCCCUUUCCAAGCGGUGGGACAAUUCUUCCACUCCCAAUGUAUACAAUCGAUGCUUCCUAUCAUCCCGGGAAAUACACGAAGCUCUCCAAUAUGAAGUAGACGUUGAAGAUCAUCCUGUGUUGGUCUUCUUAGGUACUGAUCGCCGAACAAAUCUAUUACUGCUUCGACAAAAUUUUCCACACAUAACCGAGUAGUGGUUGCACCGAGCCUGAGGUAUUCGUCGACCGCAUCAAGCGCAGAACCAUAUGCCAACACACGAAUAGCUGCUAUACACUUUUGAAGUGUAGAGAUACCAAGCCUUCCGAGACCGUCCUUCUUCUGGCGAAAGAAUUGAACUUCAUUUGAAAGACGAUCAACAAUAUGCAUGAACAAUGGUUUGUUCAUUCGAAAUCGUCGUCGGAAUAGAUUUUAUGGAUACGUUGGAGCGUCACUAAAAUAAUCAUUCCAUAAUCGGAGAUGACCUUCUUCACGGUUUCUUUCGAUAAAAACUCUUCUUUUUCUUGUCUUCUCACCCAAAUUCUCAAAUGCUUCAUCGAAUGCUUCAUCGAAAGUUUGAUCAAAAUAUUGAUCGAAAUUUUCAUCCAUUGACUCUUCGAAAUUGUUAUGAGAAGAAGAUGUCAUGAGAUGAAAUUUUUUAAGAUUUUUAUAAGUGUGCUUGUGAUGAGAAUUGAGAGAAUGGACAGAAUUGAGAGAAUGAAAAAUAGUUUUUUAUAAGUGAAAAUUGUUAUGAAAACUUAAAGAGAAUUGAGGGAAUUGAGAGAAUGAGUGUGUUUGUGAUGAGAAUUUAAAGAGAAUGGAGGGAAUUGAGAUGAUGAGUGUGAUGGAUGAUAACUUGCAAGAAAUGAGAGAAUGAGAGAAUGAGAAAGUUAAAAAUACUAUAAGUGUGAUUGCGAUGAGUCAUUUUUAUAAAACUCUAGUGACAUCUCCGUGAUGCAAAAUAACAAGAGGGAAAUAAUACAAAACUCUCGUGUUUUUCUUGUUCUGUACAAGUCAGCCAUGAACAGAAAAAUACAAAACUCUUGUGACAGAAAAAUACAAUAGUACAAGUCAUUCACAAGACAAUACAAAACUCUCGUGUUCUUCUCUGCCUCCGGCUGUCGUGUUCUUCCUGCCUCUCCACUCUCGUGAUACAAGAGUACAAGCCAUCACCUCACUGCUGUCUACAAGAGUACAAGACAACAUUAUACAAAAACCAUUUGUUAAAUACAACUAAGCAACAACAAGAACAUCAGUGUCAUAGAACAAGAUCAGCAACAUUUAAGCAUUACAUUUAAACAACUAAGCAAAACAGAACAAGAACAUCAUCCGCUUACAACAAGAACAAGAACAUUUAAGCAUUACAGGAACUACAUUAAACAGAACAAGAACAAGUUUUAACGAAAUAGAACAAGCAAGAGAACAAGACAACUAGAAUCAGAACAAUUCAUUGAUGAGUUUUUUUUUUUGAGGGCUUCCUCAUACUCAGCCAAAUGUUCUUUUUUUUUUCAAUAAGACUCUCAAGCAGUCUCAUCUUAGAUAAGCGUUCUUUAGCUUCCAAAUCCUACGGUUUGAUUGUCCACAUAUUUUCAAACUUAUUCACAGUCUUCUCCUCAACAAACGUCAUCUUCCCACUCGCCUUUGAGGCUUUAACACCCGGUGGACGCUUCUUAGAAUCUGCUUGAGAUGCUGAAGAAUCUGCACCAUCCUCACAUUUUCUUUUUUUUAGAGGUUCCUUCGUCCUUAGCAGAUGAAAGCUCACACCACUUCUGGUCGUUCCUCAGCUCCUUCCAAGCAUGUUCAAUGAGGAAUUUCUUCUUAUGGUUGUUGUAAAAUAUUUGAUAAGCUAGUUUGAGCACAUCGUUUUCGUUUUGACCAGAAGUCUUCUCUCUGCUUGCAGCUUCAUAGGCUCCACAGAACUUGCAAACGAGAUCAUUGAUCUUGUGCCAACGGUGCUUGCAAUGACUACCCUCUCUCUGUUCGCAGCCACCAUCUUGACGACUUUCCGUAAAGUAAGCUGCUACUCUUGUCCAGAAAGUGCUUGACUUUUGCUCAGUGCUAUCUACUGCAUCUUUGCUCGUGUUUAACCACGAGCUGAUCAGCACAACAUCAUCCGCUGGUGUCCAUUUUUUUCUUUCUCUACGGUUAGCAGGAGUGUCUCUAACGAAGGCUGAAUCAGCUGUACCUUGACUGGCAAGAAAAGGAACUUGGGUUGAAGAGAGGUCGACACUAUCUUCAUAGGAUCCAAAGGCAAUAUCUUGUUGACUAUUGAGUAAAUCAACAAACUUUGGAUUCUGCAUAUAUGGAUAGGAAUCCAUAUACGAAGAUGAUAAAGAAGAGAAAAAUUAAAGACAAAAGGGGAGGAAGUGGGAAGAGAAGGCCCCAUGCGCUUGCUCAAGAAAGAGGAGAACGAGAGUGUUUAAUAGGAGGAAGAGAAGCAUUGAACACAACCAAUUCGAGUGAACAUAUGUCUAACGUAAUUAUCACACAAGACCAUCGAUAUGUAUCAAACCAUAACUACAAUUUAUUAUCUUAACACAACCAUAACCUAACGCAUUCAUCACACACGCAUUUAUUACGGUUAUUACCUAAACUAACCAUCAACAUUUACACCAACGAGAACAAAGAGAGGGGUUUACAUGUAUCAACAAUCGUAGGACUUUGCUCUCAUGAACCUGGAUCAAGCAUCUUGAUCAAACAACCUAAAGACAAAAAAGACAGAAACAAAUCACUUCCAAAACAAACAACAUCAUAUUAAGAUAAGAGCUCUCGACAGAGAAUAAAAAGCAACAUCAACAAACCACAAACAACCAAAUGUAAUUAACAAUGCUUCAUCCAAUUCACGAGACCAAAUACAUAGGUUUUAUCCAAUUCAACAGAGCAAAGACAAAGGUCUACCUUUAUCAUGUAGCUCUUGAUCGUGUGGCUUUUGUUAUGAAUAAUCGUGUGGCUUUUGCCUGAGAAACCUUGAUCAUGCCUCUUGAUUCUUCCAUCUCACAACACAAAGACAGGAAAAAAAUCAAAACAAAUUAUUGCAUGUUCCUCAUUUUAAUUUUCUCGAUCUGUUCGAGAUAACCAAAAUCAAAUACAUGCAAAAUUGAAAUAUCCAAACAAAUAUACAUAUUAACAACGCUUGAGAGAGAGAGAGAGCCGUUUUUCGCCGAGGAGAGGAAAGAAACAGAGAGAGAAAGUGCCGUUUCCCUUCCUCAACGACAGCCACCGACAGAGACGUGGCCUUAUCGUCGAACAGAGCCACCUAUCGGGAGAGAUCUCGCCUUUCGCCGAGGAGAGGAAAGAAACAGAAAGAGAUCUCGCCGUUUUCCUUGGUGGACGAGAGCAACAGAUAGAGGGGACGUCGUUCGCCUUCGACAGCCACCGAGAGAGACGCCGCCGUUUCAUCGAAGAGAGCCACCGAUCGCAAGAGAUGUCGCCUUUCGCCACAGAGAGAAAGAGAGAGAGAGAAAAAAAGAAAAGAAGAAACGCGACGGAAGCCAACGACACCUGUCCUCCAGCCAUUUACUUUGCGACACGUGCACGGUAAGGGGCGACGCUUCCCGUGCUUAAUUAAGCAACGCCUGUUCUCUUUUUAUCUUUUUUUUCUAUUAUUUUAAUUGCAAUUAGCCUUAAGCAACAACCUUAAGCUACUGCAAUAAACUUGCUUUACAUAAUAAAUUUAUAAUUGUUGGAACCUCUGUUUCUUGUACAAAAUGAAUAGGCUGACUUUUUCGGUGGUUAAUGGUUGUCGUUGCCAGAUUAAUAGUUUGUUGGAAAGGUUGCAACGAGCAUUAUAUAUUCUUGAAUUGAAUGAGAGAGGGAGAGAGCAAGUUGAAAUGAUCAAAAGACAAAAGACGUCAUUUCCUUCCCACAUGAUUUUCUUUGGUCAAAGGUUUCAAAAUUUAACUGAAUGAAAAUCUGAUGACCAAAAAAAGACAAGGAAAAGAACGUGAGGAGAAGGAAAAAGUACUUUUAAUGGGGGCGGUAGCCGUUAGGUUUCGAGCUCCAGUCUUAAUGGGGGCAAAAAAAAGGAUUUGGCCAACUAAGCUAUAGAUAUACGUGAUGUCUAAUGCACAAACAUUAAUUUGUAAAUUUUUGUGGGGGCAGCUGCCACCUUCCUAUCCUACUUAGAUCUGCCAUGGUUCGGCUCCCCCACGUGCGUCGUCCACAGCCCGCUCAGCAUGGGACAUGUCUAGUCGCACUAACAAAGUGAAAUUAAGAGUUAAGGAAAGAUAUAUCAUAUUUCGACUCCAUGUCGUUUACGGAAACGUUUUCAAAUUUGACUUACUGUUUCAUUUAUUUUAGGGAAGUUUACUCAAACAUAACAUAUUUUAGGAAAAUUGACUAGAACCAUACAAAUCUUUUUUUCUAUUACUGGCAUUUUUUAAAUACCAAGCGUGCCAUUUUUUACGUUAUCAGAAAAAUGGUAUUUACAAGAAUGCAAUUACUUUCCGUUGCCACAUAAGCAAAAACCUGGCGCUACGUAGGAAUUGGGUUCCGUGUUUUCUUUAAGUCAGCCGUAAAUCGUAACAUACGUCAUUACGGCUGAUUUAUUGCUACGUGUCGGCUGAAUUAAUAAACACGGCUAACUUAAGAGGAAAUGGCUAACUUAAGAACAUAAGUCAGCCGCCCGGUACGACUGAUUUACAGAAAUGUGGCUGAUUUAUGGGAUAAUGGAUGACUUACAUACACAAGUUACAACUGACUUAUACAUCGGCGGUAUGAUUUCUGGAAAAUCCGGCUGAGUUGUAGUUAAGAAAUGGCUGAGUUAUGUUUCCCUGACUAAAUCCUCUGUUCUGUCUGAUCGAAUCUUCAAUAUUUUAUAAUUCUUUUCAUUCUGCUUUCUUUUGAUUGUCUGCAGCCAAACAUGACUAGCGAAGUCUCUGAGCGGAUUCAUGUGUGUUUCUUCCCCUUCAUGGCUCACGGCCACAUGAUUCCUAUUCUGGACAUGGCCAAGCUUUUCUCUAGCAGAGGAGCCAAAUCAACCAUCAUCACAACGCCAAGCAACUCUAAGAUCUUGGAGAAACCCAUUGAAGCAUUCAGAAACCAAAACCCUGGUCUCGAAAUCGGAAUCAGGAUCUUCGACUUCCCUAGCGUAGAGCUUGGAUUGCCUGAAGGGUGCGAGAACGUUGACUUCAUCACCUCAUACCAAAAGCCUGACGCAGGUGACUUGUUCUUAAAGUUUCUUUUCUCUACCAAGCAUAUGAAACAGCAGUUGGAAAGUUUCAUCGAGACAACCAAACCGAGCUGUAUUGUUGCCGAUAUGUUCUUCCCUUGGGCGACGGAAGCCGCAGAGAAGUUUGGUGUCCCAAGACUUGUGUUCCACGGUACAUCUCUCUUUUCCUUGUGCUGUUCUUACAACAUGAGGACUCAUAAGCCACACAAGAAAGUUGCUACGACUUCUACUCCUUUUGUAAUCCCUGGUCUCCCGGGGGACAUAGUCAUCACAGCAGAGCAAGCCAAUGUUGCUGACGAAGAGACUCCGAUGGGAAAGUUUAUGAAAGAGGUCAGAGAAUCGGAGUCAAUUAGCUUUGGUGUUCUGGUGAAUAGCUUCUACGAGCUGGAAUCGACUUACGCUGAUUUUUACCCUAGCUUUGUUGCUAAAAGAGCUUGGCAUAUCGGUCCGCUUUCGCUCUGCAACAGAGAGAUAGCGGAGAAAGCUGGAAGAGGCAAGAAGGCGAGCAUUGAUGAGCAAGAAUGCCUCCAGUGGCUCGACUCUAAGACACCUGGUUCAGUUGUUUACAUGUCCUUUGGCAGUGGAACUAACUUCACCAACGAGCAACUGUUAGAGAUCGCUGCUGGUCUUGAAGGCUCUGAACAAAACUUCAUCUGGGUGGUUAGGAAAAAUGAUAACAAAGGUAAUAUGGAUAACUCACUCAAAAUUUCAUUGUUGCUAUACCUCAUUUGAUAGCAUGGUGUUGACUGUUGAAUUACGUAACAAUUAUUUAUUGUUAUUUUUUGACUAAUUACAUAACAAUUAUGAAAUGAAACUUGGUGUUGAUGCGGUUUGGGACAGGUGAAAAUGAGGAGUGGUUGCCUGAAGGGUUUGAGGAAAGAACGAAAGGUAAAGGGCUGAUCAUACGCGGGUGGGCUCCACAGGUGCUUAUACUUGACCACAAAGCGGUUGGAGGAUUUGUGACGCAUUGCGGAUGGAACUCGGCUAUUGAGGGCAUUGCUGCUGGGUUGCCUAUGGUAACUUGGCCGAUGGGAGCAGAGCAGUUCUACAACGAGAAGCUUUUGACAAAAGUGUUGAAAACAGGAGUGAACGUGGGAGCUACGGAGUUGGUGAAAAAAGGAAAGUUAAUUAGUAGAGAGGAAGUUGAGAAGGCAGUGAGAGAAGUGAUAGUUGGUGAAGAAGCAGAAGAAAGGCGGGAACGGGCCAAGAAGCUAGGCGAGAUGGCUAAAGCAGCUGUUGAGGAAGGAGGAUCUUCUUUUAAGGAUUUGAACAAGUUCAUGGAAGAGGUGAAUGGUAGAAAGUAGAAUAGAGACAGAACAUGUGUUCAUGUUGUUUCAUGUUGUGAGGUGGGUUCUUAGCUUUAUUAGCUUUAGCUACUAUUGUUGAGUUAUGUUGAGAGAUAAGUCUAUAGUGUAAGAGCAUGUUUAUUGCUAAAACUUUAACUGUUGCUUAAGUGGUUCUUAAUGAAUUUUUAAGUAUUAAAAUUAAGCUAAAAUAAUGUUAAGAAACACUUAAUUAUAGUGGUUUAUUGGUAGUUGCUUAAUUUAAGGUUCUUAACAAUAAAAAAAUAUUAAAUUUAUUUUUAAACAUAAAAUUUCAGUUAAACAUAACAUUUUAAACAUAAAUUUUAAAAUACAAACAUAAAAUCAGGAAAACAAAAAUUACUAAAAAAACGAUAAUAAUUUGAAAGAGACAUCGAAGCUCAGUUGUUAUCUUGAUCACGUCCAAAUUUACGCCAUAUAUGUUCAACAAAAUCACAUUUCAGUUGUUGAUGCGCUUGUCUAUCACAAAUUCUUGUUCGAACACCUAUCUGAUUGGCGAUAUUUGUAGGGAUGUCUGUUGAAUAUGUGAGAUCGAUAUGUGAACUUCCGCUUCCUUCUCCUUGUUGAAAAUCAGAAACUUCGUAUUGAGUGUAGUCAUCUCGUUCGUUUUCUACUAUCAUACUAUGGAGUAUGAUAUAUGCUCUCAUAAUCUUUCCAAUCUUGACUUUAUCCCAAGAAAGUGCCGGAUUUUUAACAAUGGGAAAUCGAGCUUGCAAGACUCUGAAAGCACGUUCGACAUCUUUUCGGGCAGCUUCUUGACGUUGAGCAAAUAAAACUGCUUUAGGCCCUUGUGGAAUUGGAAUAGAUUAGAUAAAAGUUGCCCAUUUUGGAUAAAGAUCAUCGGUGAGAUAGUAAGCCAAAUGAUACUCUCUUCCGUUGACCGAGAAAUUCACUUGCGGAGCUUGACCAUUUAUUAUGUCAUCAAAAACAGGUGAGCGAUCAAGAACAUUGAUAUCAUUUAAGGUACCUGGAGGUCCAAAAAACGCAUGUCAUAUCCAAAGAUCAUAUGAAGCAACCGCCUCUAAAACGAUUGUCGGUUUUCCAGAACCACAAGAAUAUUGCCCUUUCCAAGCGGUGGGACAAUUCUUCCACUCCCAAUGUAUACAAUCGAUGCUUCCUAUCAUCCCGGGAAAUACACGAAGCUCUCCAAUAUGAAGUAGACGUUGAAGAUCAUCCUGUGUUGGUCUUCUUAGGUACUGAUCGCCGAACAAAUCUAUUACUGCUUCGACAAAAUUUUCCACACAUAACCGAGUAGUGGUUGCACCGAGCCUGAGGUAUUCGUCGACCGCAUCAAGCGCAGAACCAUAUGCCAACACACGAAUAGCUGCUAUACACUUUUGAAGUGUAGAGAUACCAAGCCUUCCGAGACCGUCCUUCUUCUGGCGAAAGAAUUGAACUUCAUUUGAAAGACGAUCAACAAUAUGCAUGAACAAUGGUUUGUUCAUUCGAAAUCGUCGUCGGAAUAGAUUUUAUGGAUACGUUGGAGCGUCACUAAAAUAAUCAUUCCAUAAUCGGAGAUGACCUUCUUCACGGUUUCUUUCGAUAAAAACUCUUCUUUUUCUUGUCUUCUCACCCAAAUUCUCAAAUGCUUCAUCGAAUGCUUCAUCGAAAGUUUGAUCAAAAUAUUGAUCGAAAUUUUCAUCCAUUGACUCUUCGAAAUUGUUAUGAGAAGAAGAUGUCAUGAGAUGAAAUUUUUUAAGAUUUUUAUAAGUGUGCU
rnacentral:lncRNA from 1 species